rnacentral:rRNA from 1 species
AGAGUUUGAUCCUGGCUCAGAUUGAACGCUGGCGGCAUGCUUUACACAUGCAAGUCGAACGGCAGCGCGGGGCAACCUGGCGGCGAGUGGCGAACGGGUGAGUAAUAUAUCGGAACGUACCCAGAAGUGGGGGAUAACGUAGCGAAAGUUACGCUAAUACCGCAUACGAUCUACGGAUGAAAGUGGGGGACCUUCGGGCCUCAUGCUUUUGGAGCGGCCGAUAUCUGAUUAGCUAGUUGGUGAGGUAAAGGCUCACCAAGGCAACGAUCAGUAGCUGGUCUGAGAGGACGACCAGCCACACUGGGACUGAGACACGGCCCAGACUCCUACGGGAGGCAGCAGUGGGGAAUUUUGGACAAUGGGCGCAAGCCUGAUCCAGCAAUGCCGCGUGAGUGAAGAAGGCCUUCGGGUUGUAAAGCUCUUUUGUCAGGGAAGAAACGGCUGAGGCUAAUACCUUCGGCUAAUGACGGUACCUGAAGAAUAAGCACCGGCUAACUACGUGCCAGCAGCCGCGGUAAUACGUAGGGUGCAAGCGUUGUCCGGAAUUACUGGGCGUAAAGCGUGCGCAGGCGGUUUUGUAAGUCUGACGUGAAAUCCCCGGGCUCAACCUGGGAAUUGCGUUGGAGACUGCAAGGCUGGAGUCUGGCAGAGGGGGGUAGAAUUCCACGUAGCAGUGAAAUGCGUAGAGAUGUGGAGGAACACCGAUGGCGAAGGCAGCCCCCUGGGUCAAGACUGACGCUCAUGCACGAAAGCGUGGGGAGCAAACAGGAUUAGAUACCCUAGUAGUCC